UUUGAAGUGUUUGCUGAAUA
rnacentral:siRNA from 1 species